CCUACGGGGGGCAGCAGUGAGGAAUAUUGGUCAAUGGGCGGGAGCCUGAACCAGCCAAGCCGCGUGAGGGAAGAAGGUCCUGCGUAUUGUAAACCUCUUUUGUCAGGGAACAAAGGCGGGGACUAGUCCCCUGAUGAGGGUACCUGAAGAAAAAGCAUCGGCUACUUCCGUGCCAGCAGCCGCGGUAAUACGGAGGAUGCGCGCGUUAUCCGGAUUUAUUGGGUUUAAAGGGUGCGCAGGCGGCUGUUUAAGUCAGCGGUAAAAGCUGGGGGCUAAACCCCGGCGAGCCGUUGAAACUGGGGGGCUGGAGUGGGAGAGAGGUAGGCGGAAUGCGUGGUGUAGCGGUGAAAUGCUUAGAUAUCGCGCAGAACCCCGAUUGCGAAGGCAGCGUACCGGCUCCACACUGACGCUGAGGCACGAAAGCGUGGGUAUCGAACAGGAUUAGAUACCCGUGUAGUC
rnacentral:rRNA from 1 species